AAUCGAUUAAAUAAUUAGAAAAUUGUGAAAAUUACUGUAAUUUGGAAAUCAAUUCGUUGCAUGCCACCACGCGGGAUUCAUCAUGGGCCAGCGAUCGAUCGGGUGUCAAACAUCAGUCCUCAGUCUCCAGUCCUCAGUCCUCAGUCUCCAGUCAGAGCAUAAAUAAUCGCAUUAUAAUAAAAUAAUGCAAUGCCCACGAAGGAUGCCGAAGAAGCCCAAGUUCGUCUUGGCCCACUCCAGAUUCAAUUUAAAUGGAAAACACUUUCCUAUCGAGUCGCUCCAAUUAAUAUUCGCUGCGUGCCGCGAUCACCGCGAGCUGAUAAAGUGCGGCUCAUAUAUUUUGUCAUAAAUUUCAAGCGCGCUCGACAGCUGCUCGGACUCAUCAAUCAGCCCCAGUGGCAGUCCUCGUCCCAGUCCUGUCGGACACAUCGGACGUGGAGCGUGCGGACUUUGGCAAACACUCGAUUAAAAUCAACUUCAAUUUGUAAUAAAUCAAAAGUCCUAUCAAAACCAUAUCCAACGAAUACCGAAAGAAACGAGGCACCCAAAAGGGUUCCUCCUCCUCCUCUCUGUCCAGGCCAAUGAAGAAAUUUGCAGCGUUCUUCUGCAUCCCGAUCGUGUGGCAAUGGAUCCAGGCUCGGACCUGUAUGAUGAAUGGUUAUUGAUUCGACGGAAUCGCAGGCUUCUCUGAAAGGAGCAGCUCUGCUCCACUGCACUCUGUGUCCGCCAAUAAAAUCACGUUCCAGCUUUGGGAGUAACUCCGAAAUCACUAUAUCCAGAGUUGGGCCGGACACAGCGCACUUUUGGUAGUGAAAUAUUACAUUUUAUAGACAUUUCUCAUAACUAAUUGCAGAUGAAAUGGAAACCAUGACCAAAAGUCAAGCGAUCAAAAAACCAACUCCUGACCCGCACUAAUCAGCCUUAAAGCCUUCCUCUGUGCACACACUUAUCCCAUGGCCCAUGGGACUCACUUCUCUCAGCUUAUCCCAGCCACUCUGGAUGAAUGGACGGAUGGAUGGAUG
rnacentral:lncRNA from 1 species